AACACAUGCAAGUCGAACGGUAAGGCCCUUCGGGGGUACACGAGUGGCGAACGGGUGAGUAACACGUGGGUGAUCUGCCCUGCACUUUGGGAUAAGCCUGGGAAACUGGGUCUAAUACCGAAUAUGACCAUGGACUUCACGGUUUGUGGUGGAAAGCUUUUGCGGUGUGGGAUGGGCCCGCGGCCUAUCAGCUUGUUGUGGGGUAAUGGCCUACCAAGGCGACGACGGGUAGCCGGCCUGAGAGGGUGACCGGCCACACUGGGACUGAGAUACGGCCCAGACUCCUACGGGAGGCAGCAGUGGGGAAUAUUGCACAAUGGGCGCAAGCCUGAUGCAACGACGCCGCGUGGGGAUGACGGCCUUCGGGUUGUAAACCUCUUUCACCAGGGACGAAGCGAGAGUGACGGUACCUGGAGAAGAAGGACCGGCCAACUACGUG
rnacentral:rRNA from 1 species